UACGGAGGGUGCAAGCGUUGUUCGGAAUCACUGGGCGUAAAGGGCGCGUAGGCGGCGCCGCAAGUCGGCUCGUGAAAGCCCGGGGCUCAACCCCGGAGGUGCGGCCGGGACUGCGGUGCUCGAGGUCGGAAGAGGAGGGUGGAAUACCCAGUGUAGAGGUGAAAUUCGUAGAUAUUGGGUGGAACACCGGUGGCGAAAGCGGCUCUCUGGUCCGACUCUGACGCUGAGGCGCGAAAGCGUGGGGAGCAAACAGG
rnacentral:rRNA from 1 species